CUACGGGAGGCUGCAGUGGGGAAUAUUGCACAAUGGGCGAAAGCCUGAUGCAGCAACGCCGCGUGAGGGACGACGGCCUUCGGGUUGUAAACCUCUUUUGGCAGGGAAGGAGCGAAAGUGACGGUACCUGCAGAAAAAGCACCGGCUAACUACGUGCCAGCAGCCGCGGUAAUACGUAGGGUGCAAGCGUUGUCCGGAAUUAUUGGGCGUAAAGAGCUCGUAGGCGGUUUGUCGCGUCUGCUGUGAAAAUCCGAGGCUCAACCUCGGACCUGCAGUGGGUACGGGCAAACUAGAGUGCGGUAGGGGAGAUUGGAAUUCCUGGUGUAGCGGUGGAAUGCGCAGAUAUCAGGAGGAACACCAAUGGCGAAGGCAGAUCUCUGGGCCGUAACUGACGCUGAGGAGCGAAAGCGUGGGGAGCGAACAGGAUUAGAUACCCCGGUAGUC
rnacentral:rRNA from 1 species